UACGUAGGGGGCUAGCGUUGUCCGGAAUCAUUGGGCGUAAAGCGCGUGUAGGCGGCCCGGUAAGUCCGCUGUGAAAGUCCAGGGCUCAACCCUGGGAUGCCGGUGGAUACUGUCGGGCUCGAGUCCGGAAGAGGAGAAUGGAAUUCCUGGUGUAGCGGUGAAAUGCGCAGAUAUCAGGAAGAACACCAAUGGCGAAAGCAGCUUCUGGGACGGUACUGACGCUGAGACGCGAAAGCGUGGGAGCGAACAGG
rnacentral:rRNA from 1 species